rnacentral:lncRNA from 1 species
GGGAGAAUGGUGAGUGGGUGGCUCUUGCCAUUUUUAACAUUGGUCAGGGGGCAUUUACCACUGGCCAUGCCAAAGCUUGUAAGAAAGAGUGUUAUCAGCACUUUUUCAGCAGCAGCAAUUUUUCCUACUUGGGUGAAGAAUUUUGUACUCGGCAUCCAAAGUGUUCACGAGAGACACAUCCAGGAAAAACGACUUGUGACAGCCAUAUUAUUAAUUUGCUUUUCUGGCCUUUGACUCAACCGCUGUGUCCCAUCCUGUAUCCCAAAUUCACCAAGAAAAUUGAAGAGUGGUGCGCAUACUGUAUAUCAUUGUCUCACCCUUAUGUUGUUUUGUUUUGUAUCAUCCAGGUGGCUGUAGGAACACGACAAAAAGAAAUGUCGCUUGCAAACUCUUUCUUGCUGAGAAAAAUGUUUCGGAGGCGUUAUGUCCCUAAGGUGGAAGAGCUGAGGGCCCUUCGUCAAAUGAGGCAGCAGGCUUUUGCUGAGGUCCUGGCAAGAGCAAUGGAACGUGAAGUCCCUAAGGAGGAAACGCUGCAGGAACUUCCUGAAAGGAGACAGCAGGCUGUUGCUGAGGUUGCCGCAGGAGUACAGGAGAAAGAUGUCCCUAAGGAAGAAAAGCUGCGUGCCCUUCCUGAAAGGAAGCAGAAGGCUGUGGCUGAGGUGGCCGUAGGAGCACGGGAGAAAGGUGUCCCUAAGGAGGAAAAGCGGCGGCCCCUUCCUCUAAGGGCGCAGAAGGCUGUGGCUGAGGUCAUCAAAAGAGCAAUGAAAUAUGGUGUCACUGCGGAGAAAAAGCUGCAGUCCGUUAGAGUAAGGAGGCAAAAGACUGUUGCAGAGGUGGCCAUAGGAGCACGAGAAGAAGGUGUCCCUCAGGAGGAAAAUGUGUGGGCCGUUCCUGUCAGGAGACACCAAGGUGUUGCUGAGGUUGCCGCGGGAGAAACAGAAUAUGGUGUCCCUGAGGAGGAAAAGAUGUGGGCCGUUCCUGUCAGGAGACACCAAGGUGUUGCUGAGGUUGCCGCGGGAGAAACAGAAUAUGGUGUCCCUCAGGAGGAAAAUAUGUGGGCCGUUCCUGUCAGGAGGCAGCAGGAUGUUGCUGAGGUUGCCGCGGGAGAAACAGAAUAUGGUGUCCCUGAGGAGGAAAAGAUGUGGGCCGUUCCUGUCAGGAGACACCAAGGUGUUGCUGAGGUGAACUUGCCUGUCUUUGCCUAUGGAAGACACGUUGAUUACUUAGUGUAUCUCCAGUCAUAUUCGGUGACAUAG